AGAACGAACGCUGGCGGCAGGCCUCAAACAUGCAAGUCUAGGGGGUGUAGCAAUACAUCACCGGCGGACGGGUGCGUAACACGUGGGAAUAUACCUUUUGGUUCGGAACAACGCAGGGAAACUUGCGCUAAUACCGGAUAAGCCCUUACGGGGAAAGAUUUAUCGCCAAAGGAACGGCCCGCGUCCGAUUAGCUAGUUGGUGAGGUAAUGGCUCACCAAGGCGACGAUCGGUAGCUGGUCUGAGAGGAUGACCAGCAUCACUGGGACUGAGACACGGCCCAGACUCCUACGGGAGGCAGCAGUGGGGGAAUAUUGGACAAUGGGCGCAAGCCUGAUCCAGCCAUGCCGCGUGGAUGAUGAAGGCCCUAGGGUUGUAAAGUCCUUUUAACGGGGAGAUAAUGACGGUACCCGUAGAAUAAGCCCGGCUAACUUCGUGCCAGCAGCCGC
rnacentral:rRNA from 1 species